UACGGAGGGUGCGAGCGUUGUCCGGAAUCAUUGGGCGUAAAGGGCGCGUAGGUGGCGACCCAAGUCGAUGGUGAAAGCUCGCCGCUCAACGGCGAGUCGGCCACCGAUACUGGGUUGCUUGAGCACUGUAGAGGCUAAUGGAAUUCCGGGUGUAGCGGUGGAAUGCGUAGAGAUCCGGAAGAACACCGGUGGCGAAGGCGGGUUCACUGGGCAGUAUGACGAG
rnacentral:rRNA from 1 species